UUACAUCAACUUUUGGUUUUCCUUUAGUUUCCUUUUUUUUAUUUUUUUUUAUUUAUUCAUUAGGCCGAGGGAUUUGAAACGAACCCUCUAUUCCGAGCCCAGGGGAACCACAACCACCCAUAUGGGGUUUGGACUUUUUUUGGGCUAAGAUCCCAGUUUCCAUUCACAUACCAGUAGUUAUUAUAUUUUGGCAAGUGAUGUUUCAUGGCUGAGUAGUUGAAGCGCCAACUUGCUUCCCGCAUAUCUUGGGUUCGAAACCAGCAUGUUCCACUUCCUAAUUUUUGAGCAUGAUUUCUUUCCUUUUCCAUUUUUUCAUUGUUUUGUUUCUUAUAUUUUUUUUAGAUUAAAUACUCACUCAUUAUUUUGUGCAACUCACUUGCUAAAUAUUUUAAUGUUGAUUUUUUAAAUUUAUUUCUAAUCCCUUCAUGUUUUAUUAUUCUCAUUCUCCUAACACUUGUUGAUUUUUA
rnacentral:lncRNA from 1 species